CGGGGCGUAGCGCAGUCUGGUAGCGCAUCUGGUUUGGGACCAGAGGGUCGCUGGUUCGAAUCCGGCCGCCCCGACCA
rnacentral:tRNA from 22 species